ACACAUGAAUCUCUAGUCCUGGGAAUCUAUGACGCACAGUGAACUUCAGGAAAACGAUCCGGUGUCCUCUUCAGAAACUUAAACGUCUGCUGGUUAUUCAUCAUGCUACGCAUUGAGUCUAGGUGCCAAUGCGUGGCUUCUACCCUUACUGGUGCAAGAUGAGCCGAAUGGAAGGUGUCAGGAAUUUUAAUGGCCUUGUGAGCCCUGGACAGCACUAACUACCUGCCUCCAGGCACAGAAGUUGAGGUCUUGGGUGGUAGCUGAAGGUAUGCUGGUCUACAUGUGUGAACAAGGCAGUCAGCAGGAGCACCUGGAGCCAAAUAAUGCAGAUUCCACUCAGAGCGAGGAACAAAACCAGAACAAUCCUGUGACUUGUCAAGUCAAGUCACCUUUUUCUAUACAGCGCUUUAAACAAAACAGAUUGUGUCAAAGCAACUGAACAACAUUAAUUAUGAAAACAGUGUGUCAAUAAUGCAAAAUGACAGUUAAAGGCAGUUCAUCAUUGAAUUCAGCAAUGUCAUCUCUGUUCAGUUUAAAUCUGUGCAAUCAUUUGGAUUUAAGUCAACGAUAUCCCCUCUGAUUCCACAAUCAGAUAACAGGAUUCUUUCAUGAAUGUCACUGUUAGCCAUUUCCUCACCCAAAUUACUAAAAGUGUGGCCCUAGAUCCAUAGUUUAAGGCAUACUGUGAAUAAUAAAAAUGCAAGUCUCUUAUGUGCAACAAGGCUGUUUAUUUGAUCAAAAAUACAGUAAAAAGAGUAGUAGUGUGAAAUUGUAUUACAAUUUAAA